rnacentral:snoRNA from 1 species
CACAGAUGAUGUUAUUCUAAUAUUUGCUACUUCGGACGGGACUUGCUCCUGAAUGAGACAUAUACAUUAUCACCAAGAUCUCUGAUGUG